AUCAAUUUGAAUUGGGUCUUGAGAGGUGUGGUCACCAUUGUUCUCCCACCAGCAAAACACUAACAGGUCUCUGCCCCAGUCCCUGUGCCUCCAUUCUCAGCCCUGCUCAUCUCCUUUUGGAUGCCUCAGAUCUCAAGUCUUCAAGGGCAAGAUCAGGGAGAUUCAGGGGAGAGACAGGACCUGUUCAAGGUCACAAAGGUAGUAAAUGACUGUUCCAUUGCACGUUGGUCUGACUCCAGCCCUGCCCUUGCCUGCAUCUCCGGCUUAUACCAUGGGAUGCUCAUCUUGCACCUGCCUCAUCUUUGGCAUCCUGCUACCUCAGCCGAUGCUUCAGCUCCCCACUAUGCCAGAAGGAGGCUGCUAAGAACAUCUGAGGGUACAUGCACAUCACCCCACAGGGCAAGGGAUUUUUUCUUUAAAAAAAAAAGAUUUAUUUAAGGGGGUUGCAAUUG